rnacentral:lncRNA from 1 species
UCCACUAAUUCCAUACAAAUGUAUAAAAGAUCCACUAAAUCCACAAAAGUCAUCACUUAAAAAAAUCCAUAAAAGUUUUCAAAAGUCCCAAUUGAAUACACCCCCUUUAGCUCUUUUGCAUUCCCGAUUCGUCUUUUAGUUCAACUUUUGGAUAUUUGCGCUUUGAUCCUUGAACUUUUACUUUGCUUCGUUUUGGCCCUUUUCGAAUAUUUUCUUGUGGAUUCCAACAUGUCCAUCAAUAUAGCCUACAACAUACAAAUCAAACGAAAUUAAACCACAAUUCAAACACUUUGCUCGUGAUUUAGUCAUGUUUGUAAAUUAAAUGAGUGCAUAAAAAUACACUUAUCACAAGUAAAUAACCUUCUUGACUCAAAUAUAUACUUUCAGCUUACCCCCAAUCUUUUAUUUGGUUAAAUAAGGAUUCUUGUAAGGAAAACUCCACAACCUUAGUUGACGACAAACAUAUAAAAAGCAAUAAAAUAUUAUAUACAAAAAAAUAAGUCAAAUAUCUCAUAUUAAAAAGGUAGAUGAUACAUAACAUCUAGGUUCACUUCUCGCAAGUUGUCUGUGACUAAAAAUUUAAGGCAAAGUUCAAAUGUAGAAAAAUUAAUAGUCCUUUAAAUUUGAAACGAGAUAAUUGUGUCUUACUAACUCUACCUAUGAUGCUUGGACUCAAGUACAAGUAUCGAGUACGGAUAUGUAUCUAAGUGUUGGAUUGUUUAUUUUCUAAAACGUAAG